UACCCCUACGGGAGGCAGCAGUGGGGAAUAUUGGGCAAUGGGCGCAAGCCUGACCCAGCAACGCCGCGUGAAGGAAGAAGGCUUUCGGGUUGUAAGCAUAGGAAAUGAUGUUUACUUGACGGUACCUUUUGAAUAAGCCCCGGCUAACUACGUGCCAGCAGCCGCGGUAAUACGUAGGGGGCGAGCGUUAUCCGGAUUUAUUGGGCGUAAAGCGUGCGUAGGCGGCUUGUUAAGUCCAGAAUUAAAGCCCGAGGCUUAACCUCGGUUCGUUCUGGAUACUGGCAAGCUUGAGUAUGGUAGAGGCA
rnacentral:rRNA from 1 species